UACGUAGGGGGCGAGCGUUGUCCGGAAUUAUUGGGCGUAAAGAGCUCGUAGGCGGCUUGGCAAGUCGGAUGUGAAAACUCCAGGCUCAACCUGGAGCCGCCAUUCGAUACUGCUAUGGCUAGAGUCCGGUAGGGGAGUGUGGAAUUCCCGGUGUAGCGGUGAAAUGCGCAGAUAUCGGGAGGAACACCAGUGGCGAAGGCGGCUCACUGGACCGGUACUGACGCUGAUGCGCGAAAGCGUGGGGAGCAAACGGG
rnacentral:rRNA from 1 species